rnacentral:rRNA from 1 species
CAGUCGCCGCGGUAAUACGUAGGGUGCAAGCGUUAAUCGGAAUUACUGGGCGUAAAGCGUGCGCAGGCGGUUAUAUAAGACAGAUGUGAAAUCCCCGGGCUCAACCUGGGAACUGCAUUUGUGACUGUAUAGCUAGAGUACGGCAGAGGGGGAUGGAAUUCCGCGUGUAGCAGUGAAAUGCGUAGAUAUGCGGAGGAACACCGAUGGCGAAGGCAAUCCCCUGGGCCUGUACUGACGCUCAUGCACGAAAGCGUGGGGAGCAAACAGGAUUAGGUACCCCGUAGUCCCUGUCUCUUAUACA